GCCAUCCUUUAAAGAAAGCGUAAUAGCUCACUAGUCGAGUCGGCCUGCGCGGAAGAUGUAACGGGGCUCAAACCAUACACCGAAGCUACGGGUAUCACGUAAGUGAUGCGGUAGAGGAGCGUUCUGUAAGCCUGUGAAGGUGAGUUGAGAAGCUUGCUGGAGGUAUCAGAAGUGCGAAUGCUGACAUGAGUAACGACAAUGGGUGUGAAAAACACCCACGCCGAAAGACCAAGGUUUCCUGCGCAACGUUAAUCGACGCAGGGUUAGUCGGUCCCUAAGGCGAGGCUGAAAAGCGUAGUCGAUGGAUGACAGGUUAAUAUUCCUGUACUGUUUAUUAUUGAUAACGAGGGACGGAGAAGGCUAAGUCAGCCGGAUGUUGGUUACCGGUUUAAACUUUCGAUGUGAUGAGGAGUGGAGAAAACAUUCUGAGCAAAGAAGUGAAUACAAAGUACUAAGGUGCUAAAGUGAUUGAUGUCAUACUUCCUAGAAAAGCUCGACAUAUCUUAAAUAAUAAACACCUGUACCCGAAACCGACACAGGUAGGUAGGUAGAGUAUACCAAGGGGCGCGAGAUAACUCUCUCUAAGGAACUCGGCAAAAUGGCCCCGUAACUUCGGAAGAAGGGGUACCCUUGUAGGGUUGCAAUAACCAGACCCAAGCGACUGUUUAUCAAAAACACAGGUCUCCGCUAAGUCGCAAGACAAUGUAUGGGGGCUGACGCCUGCCCAGUGCCGGAAGGUUAAAGAAGUCGGUUAGUAUUUAUACGAAGCUGACGACUGAAGCCCCGGUGAACGGCGGCCGUAACAAUAACGGUCCUAAGGUAGCGAAAUUCCUUGUCGGGUAAGUUCCGACCUGCACGAAUGGCGUAACGACUUCCCCACUGUCUCCAGUACAUGCUCAGCGAAAUUGAAUUCUCCGUGAAGAUGCGGAGUACCCGCGGUUAGACGGAAAGACCCCGUGCACCUUUACUGCAGCUUCAGAGUGGCAUUAGGAAAGAACUGUGUAGCAUAGGUGGGAGGCUUUGAAGCGACGGCGCCAGCUGUCGUGGAGCCAUAGGUGAAAUACCACCCUGUUGUUUUCUGAUGUCUAACCACGCACCGUUAUCCGGUGCUGGGACCCUCUGUGGCGGGUAGUUUGACUGGGGCGGUCGCCUCCUAAAGAGUAACGGAGGCGCGCGAUGGUGAGCUCAGGACGGUUGGAAACCGUCUGUUAGAGUGCAAUGGCAUAAGCUCGCCUGACUGCGAGACUGACGAGUCGAGCAGAGACGAAAGUCGGUCAUAGUGAUCCGGUGGUCCCUCGUGGAAGGGCCAUCGCUCAACGGAUAAAAGGUACGCCGGGGAUAACAGGCUGAUGAUUCCCAAGAGCUCAUAUCGACGGAAUCGUUUGGCACCUCGAUGUCGGCUCAUCGCAUCCUGGGGCGGUAGUACGUCCCAAGGGUUGGGCUGUUCGCCCAUGAAAGCGGUACGCGAGCUGGGUUCAGAACGUCGUGAGACAGUUCGGUCCAUAUCCGGUGCAGGCGCUAGAGUAUUGAAAGGAGCUCUCCUUAGUACGAGAGGACCGGGAGAGACGCACCGCUGGUGUACCAGUUAUUAUGCCAAUAGUAAACGCUGGGUAGCUAAGUGCGGAAAGGAUAACCGCUGAAAGCAUCUAAGUGGGAAGCCAACCUUAAGAUGAGUACUCUCACCGUUUUAAACGGUUAAGGUCACGGCAAGAUUAGCCGUUAAAUAGGCGUCAAGUGUAAGUGCAGUAAUGUAUGUAGCUGAGACGUACUAACAGACCGAGGACUUGAUUUA
rnacentral:rRNA from 1 species